rnacentral:ncRNA from 2 species
UCGAAUAAUUAUGAAAUAGGUUUAAUAGAUUUUUAAUAUCUAUUGAUUAAAAGGGAAGUGGGUUAAAAUCCCACGCGGUCUCGCCACUGUAAUAGAUGAGUUCCUGCAAUUAUGCCACUGGGAAACUGGGAAGGCUGUAGGAAUGUUGAUGCUUAAGCCAGAAGACCUGCCUAUUUUAAUGUACUAAU